UACGGAGGGGGCUAGCGUUGUUCGGAAUUACUGGGCGUAAAGCGCGCGUAGGCGGCUUUGUAAGUUAGAGGUGAAAGCCCGGAGCUCAACUCCGGAACUGCCUUUAAGACUGCAUCGCUAGAAUUGUGGAGAGGUGAGUGGAAUUCCGAGUGUAGAGGUGAAAUGCGCAGAUAUCGGGAGGAACACCAAUGGCGAAGGCAGCUUGCUGGGACGGUACUGACGCUGAGGCGCGAAAGCGUGGGGAGCAAACAGG
rnacentral:rRNA from 1 species